rnacentral:rRNA from 1 species
AGCUCCAAUAGCGUAUGUUAAAGUUGUUGCGGCUAAAAAGCUCGUAGUUGGAUUUCUGUUGAGGACGUCUGGUCCACUCUAUGAGUGUGUAUCUAGUUCGGCCUCGGCAUCCGCUCUGCAUACGUGGCUGCGCUUGAUUGCGUGGCGCGGAGGUAGGGCCUUUUACUUUGAGGAAAUUAGAGUGUUCACGGCAGGCAGUCGCCUUGAAUAUAUUAGCAUGGAAUAAUAACAUAGGAUCUUGGUUCUAUUUUGUUGGUUUCUAGAGCUAGGAUAAUGAUUAAUAGGGACAAUUGGGGGCAUUCGUAUUGCGGUGUCAGAGGUGGAAUUCUUGGAUUACUGCACGACGAACUACUGCGAAAGCAUUUGCCAAGGAUGUUUUCA